rnacentral:rRNA from 1 species
UACGGAGGGUGCGAGCGUUGUCCGGAAUCACUGGGCGUAAAGGGCGCGUAGGUGGCGGAGCAAGUCAACGGUGAAAGCUCGGGGCUCAACCCCGAGUCGGCCGUGCGAACUACUGGGCUGGAGCACUGUAGAGGCAGGCGGAAUUCCGGGUGUAGCGGUGGAAUGCGUAGAGAUCCGGAGGAAGACCGGUGGCGAAGGCGGUCUGCUGGGCAGUUUCUGGACACUGAGGCGCGACAGCGUGGGGAGCAAACAGG